GAUGACCCAUAGUACCCCAUUCCUUGCUGCAAUGUAAUUAUAUUUAAUUACAAGUGUGCCCCUGGUAGUCUUUAACUGAAGGGCACUGACUGGGUCACUGGUGAAGUUCCCCGCAGGAACUGAGUCAGACCCCAUCUCAGGGCCCUGCACAAGAUAGGUGCCUGCUCUAAGGCGUGGACCCUCGCCACAGCCCUGGCCCGUCUUGACGGGCGAGGGUUACUGUACUUGUCCCAACCGUACAGAUGAGAAAGCUGAGACUCAGGGCCAGCAACCCGGGUCCCAGCGGAGCGCCCGGCACACGCCGACACUUCAGCACCAGUGGCGGUGGCCACCACUGUGGGCGGAGAUGGCUGCGACGCGUGCGCAGGUGAAAUGGCCACCAGACCCAGGCUUUCUGGAAUGCAUUCAUUUUCUGCAGUUGAAAGGGACAAUCCCGGAUCUGAAAGAAAGAGCCACAGUGACUCCAAGAGUGGAGCCAGGGCAUGCUGGACACUGCAUAGCUAUGGCCACGUGUGUCACCUCCGAGGGAGAUGUGAGAGAAACGCAGAGGGAUCGCUUGUGACUGUGCCUUCUCGAUGUAUGAUGGACUGUUCUGCUCAAAUAGCAGCAGUAGGGCUUAUGGGAGCCAUUGUACAGUGACAGGAACAUACCAGGACACUGAGAAUAGCGUCAUGUCAUAAGGACUCAGAGCAGGUGGACCCUGCUGUGAUGCACAAAGGUGAGGGUGCAGCUGCCCAGGACACACUCAUGCAUGUUUGUGUGGACCAUGGAAGAUGGCAGGGGAAGAGCUGUCAGGUUGCUGGGGCAGAGGGUGCGCAUGAGUACUCGCCUAGGACCAUGCAAGAUAUGAUAAAGAUCUAUGUCACUGAAUUUUGUUUCUGUAUUUGUAUCUCAGCUUCCCAGAAAUAAAAAAGAAUUCUAACAUUCAUACUUUCAGUAUUUUAUGUGAGAGGUUUUGUUGUCAAAAUCAAGUCUGAGAGCAAUGUUUAUUGGGGCCUUUCAUUGGAGUCACCAAGCAAUAAAGGGGACAUUGUCUUCAACAAUAACCCUAUAAUAAACACGUUUUGGACAAUAAA
ensembl:lncRNA GLIDR glioblastoma down-regulated RNA